UACGGGGGGAGCAAGCGUUGUUCGGAUUUACUGGGCGUAAAGCGUGCGCAGGCGGUUUGCUAAGACAGGUGUGAAAUCCCCGGGCUUAACCUGGGAACUGCGCUUGUUACUGGCAGGCUUGAGUGUGGCAGAGGGGGGUGGAAUUCCACGUGUAGCAGUGAAAUGCGUAGAGAUGUGGAGGAACACCGAUGGCGAAGGCAGCCCCCUGGGCUAACACUGACGCUCAUGCACGAAAGCGUGGGGAGCGAACGGG
rnacentral:rRNA from 1 species